ensembl:miRNA MIR607 microRNA 607
UUGCCUAAAGUCACACAGGUUAUAGAUCUGGAUUGGAACCCAGGGAGCCAGACUGCCUGGGUUCAAAUCCAGAUCUAUAACUUGUGUGACUUUGGG